rnacentral:rRNA from 1 species
ACUCCUACGGGAGGCAGCAGUGGGGAAUCUUGGACAAUGGGGGCAACCCUGAUCCAGCCAUGCCGCGUGAGUGAAGAAGGCCUUAGGGUCGUAAAGCUCUUUCGCCUGUGAAGAUAAUGACGGUAGCAGGUAAAGAAACCCCGGCUAACUCCGUGCCAGCAGCCGCGGUAAUACGGGAGGGGGUUAGCGUUGUUCGGAAUUACUGGGCGUAAAGCGCGCGUAGGCGGACCAGAAAGUUGGGGGUGAAAUCCCGGGGCUCAACCCCGGAACUGCCUCCAAAACUCCUGGUCUUGAGUUCGAGAGAGGUGAGUGGAAUUCCGAGUGUAGAGGUGAAAUUCGUAGAUAUUCGGAGGAACACCAGUGGCGAAGGCGGCUCACUGGCUCGAUACUGACGCUGAGGUGCGAAAGUGUGGGAGCAAACAGGAUUAGAUACCCUGGUAGGACAGUG